rnacentral:lncRNA from 1 species
ACGAAGCCUGUUCACGUUCGCCUACAGCUGGCCAGACGGACCUAUGUCCGCGCCUCCCCUGGGAAGCCGACAGUCGAGGGCGUGGUUACCGCCAAAGCUUUCAAACAACUCCCGCGGGAGAAGGAAAUACCGCGAGACUACCGCGAGUGCGUAGAGCGGCGAGAGCUGGAAGAAAUGAAUCCACCGCCUUCAACAUCGCGGUUUGGGCGCAUGCGCUGUCUUUUAAGCAUUUUUCCGAGGAGGGGACUUGGCGUUUUUAAGAGAAAGGGUCAUUGGCUCCCCCGGAAGAGAUAUCCGCCGGGAGUGCGAACCUUGUGGAGUCGACUAUUGGAGCAGAGCUGGUGGCGCUAGGCCUAAUCGGGUCUUGCCGCUGGGGGUGAGGCGAGGAAGAAGAAAGGAUCCUCCAUGGGUUAAGGCUACCUUUGCAGAUGGUCCAGCAACUAAGUCGCCAGUUUCCAAGGGCAUUUGCACCAUCUAUGGAAAACAUCGGAUCAUUGCACACCAGACAGAUCCUUGGCAACUCAUCCCACCAUCCCCCUGCACAAAAGUUACUGCACCAGCUGACAAAGAAGGCAACCACUGAGUUUCUUUUCAUUACUAAAUAGAUACAAUAUCUCUGCCAACAAAAAAGAAUACACAAAGUGUCUCUUCAUGAAAUCUCAACCAGUUGAGACCAUGCUAAGCAAAUCAGCUUAUCUAUAGGAUGACCUCUUCUUUUCUUCAGUAGCCAGGAUUUGAAGGAGAGACUCUGACCUGUGCCACUGGUAAGUGACUAACUUUUACACACUGAACUGGUGCUGAGAACUGCGCUGUCUUCUUUGUAAGUGAAGAAUAUACAACAUAACCUUGAAGAACUGUACAGUGUUGCAAGCCAGAGGCAUACUGUGUGUAUAACAGACUGAGAAACAAGUGAAUCUUACUGAAACAAUUCCUCGUCUUUUGCUUUAUUUGCCAGUGUCAGUGUUUUGCUGGCUUAGAUUGUUACCUUUUCCUGGUAUCUUUUUCC